rnacentral:rRNA from 1 species
AUUGAACGCUGGCGGCAGGCUUAACACAUGCAAGUCGAGCGGAGAUGAGGUGCUUGCACCUUAUCUUAGCGGCGGACGGGUGAGUAAUGCUUAGGAAUCUGCCUAUUAGUGGGGGACAACAUUCCGAAAGGAAUGCUAAUACCGCAUACGUCCUACGGGAGAAAGCAGGGGAUCUUCGGACCUUGCGCUAAUAGAUGAGCCUAAGUCGGAUUAGCUUGUUGGUGGGGUAAAGGCCUACCAAGGCGACGAUCUGUAGCGGGUCUGAGAGGAUGAUCCGCCACACUGGGACUGAGACACGGCCCAGACUACUACGGGAGGCAGCAGUGGGGAAUAUUGGACAAUGGGAGGAACCCUGAUCCAACCAUGCGGCGUGUGUGAAGAAGGACUUAUGGUUGUAAAGCACUUUAAGCGAGGAGGAGGCUACCGAGAUUAAUACUCUUAGAUAGUGGACGUUACUCGCAGAAUAAGCACCGGCUAACUCUGUGCCAGCCGCCACCGUAAAAC